rnacentral:lncRNA from 1 species
UAGUAAUAUGGAGGUGGUGGUGAUGGAGAGGGAGGAGGUGGUGACUUGUAGACAUAAGGGGGUGGCGGUGAUGGAGAUGGUGGUGGUGGUGAUUUGUAAAUAUAAGGAGGGGGAGGUGAUGGUGAUGGAGGAGGUGGUGAUGGUGAAGGUGGUGGAGGUGAUUUGUAGAUGUAAGGAGGAGGAGGUGAUGGAGAUGGAGGAGGUGGGGAUUUGUAAACAUAUGGAGGUGGAGGUGAGGGAGAUGGUGGUGGUGGGGAUUUGUAAAUGUAAGGAGGGGGAGGUGAGGAUGAUGGAGAAGAUGGAGACUUAUAAACGUAAGAAGGAGGAGCUGAUGGAGAUAGAGUAGGAGAUUUGUAAAUAUAAGGAGGUGGUGGUGAUUUGUAAUUAUAAGGAGGGGGAGGUGAUGGAGAGGGUGGAGGUGAUGGUGAUGGCGGUGGUGGUGGUGGUGAUGGAGAAGGUGGACGUGAUUUAUAGCGAUAAGGCGGAAAGUCGCGUUGAUAAUAAAGUGGUGGUGGAGACUUAUAAACAUAUGGUGGUGGAGGUGGAGAUGCAUAAAUGUAAGGCUUGUCAUCGGCAGCUACAUUGGAGCUGGCUAUCAAGCCCAAUGCCAACACAUAAACCAGGUGAGGCCAAAUAUUGGCCAUUUCUGGAAAUUCUCGAACAAUACACCAGAAAAGUUCCCUCCUGCAGCUUAGGACUCUACCUUAAGGAUGGAAGGGGGAAUCUGUGAAUGACUGCAGAGGAGGGGCUCAGAGAUUACAUAGUAAUCGCUUAGGAGACUUCCAACAUUUGUUUAAUGGUUGUUUGAAGCUUCCAACCUUUAACAAGUCCUACACUAAAAAAAAAAUCCCAGUUUAUUCAAACGCUUGGAAGUUGGAAUGGGAACCCACUAACUUCUAUAUGAAAAACAUAACACAUUUCUGUGUCCAAGAAAUGGUCAUCAAGAAGAGUAAAAUGUGCAAGAACAUAUCAACUUGAGCAGGUCUCCGGUGACGUAAAAUGGAAACAGUCAGCUGUCUGAAAUGUACUAACCAGGACUGUCCGGUGUGUGGAUUAAAAUAUGAUAAAGUUUGGAACCAUUGGACCUGGAUCAAUAUUAGUGGCAUUGACAUUAGCAUUCUUUCCAUUCUUUUAGCAUUUAUAAUCAUGGAAAAUAUUGUUGGUGCGUCAUAGUCUCAGCUUGUCAGAAUAGACCAUUAUCAUUUGAUUAUGUGUGGCUUGGGAUCAAUUAGUCAAGAACAUCCUUGGCACGUUGUGAUCUACAUAUAUGUUUCAUUUUUCCAUGUACACCAAGAAAAAAUGGUCUCCUCCUUUUUCAGAACUUUGUUCCUAAUUGACUUUGGCCAUAGAUUUAAAAAAAUUUCAAAGCAACAAAUAUGUUUUACCAGUUCUGUUUUUCCAUGGUUAAUGUUAUUGGGAUGAGAACGGUAUGCACUAAGCCAAAAGCCAGUGCCAAAUUUUCUACAAAUGCAUGCAAGCCUAAUUUAAAUCACCACAUAUUUUUUCAAUAGAAAUUCAUUUCUUGGAUGGUAUUCUCCUCUUUGCUAGCUUUACAAAAGAUUGGAUUUUCCUAUUUAACAUGAGCAAGAAUACUAUGAACACUUCAUUUCUUUUUCUCUUUCUCAUGAUUUUUUGUAAAAUGCUUUGGGUUGCCUCUCAUCCUUCAUCAUUGCAAUUAAUCAGAUUCCAAAGUUGAGCUGGUUAACUAGCUCACUCACUAAUGGAUUAUGUGACAGAUUUUGCAUUUUGUAGUCCUUCCUUCAAAAAAGGGUGCAUUCAAAUUGUAAAAAGAGCACUUCUAAGCCUCCCAAAAGCACUCUUAACUAAUGGGCUCUAAAGUAUAUUUUAUGGUGCUUUUGCAAAGACAGAAUGGAGAAAGGCUUAGUAAGAUUAUCCAUGGUUCUCCGAAUUCAGUUUUGUUUUCUCGACAAAAAGGUUAAUUAACAUGAAAAAAUAUUACUUGUAUAUAGAAAUGAGUAGAAGUAGUGGACCCUUUUUUUUCCAUUAGAUCUGAGUAAAGAUGAAAGUUAUUUGGCAAAAGGAAAGAAACGUCAUUAAUCUCUUAAAUAUCUUCUUCAUGCAUUUUGCUAGAUAAAGGAUUGAUGGGGCGGGCAACAAAGGGAGAUUAUUUAAGGAGAUUUUGUAAUAACUACUUUGGAAUUGGGAGGUUUAGAAAGUGGAAGAGAAAAUGUUCAAGGAAUUAUUCAUUCCUCAAAUCUUCAUCCAUUCCUUUGUAUAGGGUUUGCCUCUAAAGGUCAACAAAACUGUUCAAAGUGUCUUUGAUAACAAUUUUAGAAAGUGUUUUUAACGUUUGUAAUACUUAUAUAAAAAAAAUUUGGUAAGUAUUAAAAAUAUUAAAAACACAUCAUAAAAUCACUAUUAAAAGAACUUUUAAAAAUUUAUAUGAAAUUAAUCAAGUUAAAUAAAGACAAGUUCUAACCUGUGGACAUAUAUGUAGAACUAAGGUCUUAGAACUGGUGAUGAUGCUAGAGAUUGCAAUCACAACUCACAACCAAAGAUCAUACAUGCUUGAAAGAAACAGAUUGAAAGGAAAUCUAUUUCAAUAUGGAUUAUAAAGUGUUUUUGUGGUUUAUAUAAAAAACAAUGACACUACAUGCAACUACAUAUGUACUUGCUUUAUAUGCUAACGACAUUAUUUAUAUGCUAGAUAUUAACUAGACACCAUCAAUCAGGUCUAUAUAUAUAUAUAUAUAUAUAUAUAUAUAUAUAUAUAUAUAUAUAUAUAUAUAUAUAUAUAUAUAUAUAUUAUUAUUUAUAUCCUUAUACUUUGAUCUCAUUUGUUUAUUUCUUCGUUCAACAACAUAAAUCUCAUCAUGCAUGUUUAAUGAUCCGGAUUUAGAGUUCAAUAGAUAUCACUAGGGUAGCUUAGGAUUUUCUUACCUAAAAUAACUAUAAGAAGUACUCAAAGAAAAAGAAAAUGAAUGAUCUAAAAGUGGAUCCCUUGCAACACUUCAAGGAGUCGAGAUUUGUACUUGGUUGGGCUUGGAAUUCUAAUAAUCCUAGUUGGCUGGGCACUUGGCUUUCUAAUAAUUCUAGUUGUCGCAUUAACGGAAACUGUACGUAACUCAACAGUAUGGACAAUUGAAAUGUUUAUGGAGUAUUGUUAAUCAAAGCUGCCAUGGGAAAAUCUUUUGUUUGAAGCCCUUCACUGAAAUAUUCAAUAAAUAUAGCUAGCGCCACUUUCCCUUAGAAAUAAUUCCCCCCAAUACCUUAAAUGGUAUGCAUAACUUCUUAUUCACUUUACACACCUAUUCAUCUUAAUUACCAAAUGCACCCACUUUCUUUUUUUAUUUUUAUUUUUUCUUUUAACUCAUUUUUUUAUAUUUAAAUUUUGGUAUUAAUCAAAUAUUAAUUUUAAUUUUUUUAAUUAUUUAAAAAAAUUACCAAAUCAGUUAAUGAAUUUAAUGCAUUAGCUCUCAAUUGAUUUGAAAUAUGUUUGUCUAAUGAUAAAACUUGAAAAUUAUACAGUUAUACGCACUUAAAAAAUUGGCCAAGCGAUUGUAGAUCAGUUUUGUUCCAACAAAUUCUAGUAUUAAUUGGCUUGAAUUGAGUUCUAAAUGAUUUUUAAACUUUGUUAAACUUAUUAAGGAAUCCAACGCAUCAAAUUGGAUUUAGAAGAUGACACAUCUCAAAGCAAAACAAUAGGGAAAGGUAUAACAAAUCACAAAUUCAAUGUUAUAAAUAUCAAAAAUUAAACUGAAACAAUCUCAAAUGACAAAAAUUAAAAAGAUUCUAUAGAUAAGGAAAUAAAAGCAAUAAAGAAAAAUAACACAUUGAAAUUAAAUCCCUUCCAAAAGGGAAAAAGGCAAUUGGAGGAAAAUAGGUAAACAAUGAGUCAAAUCCUAUUUUUCGAAAACAACCAAAUGUUUAGAAAACAAUAAUAAAUAAAUAAAUAAAAUGAAAUAAAAUAAAAUAAAUAAGAUCUCCUUUAAGACUAAAUGAUUCCAUUGAAUUGAGUAUGAUUGUAUGUGUGAUAGCAUCAACUAUACUAAGAAUAUCAAUGACCUUUUGGCAACCAACCUUCAAAAUAUAAAGAGGAAAGAUGUGCAAAGAAGAAUCUAAAAGGAGAAAUAGAGAGACACAAAGUAAGAUUAGUGGUUAAGGGUUACAAGCAUCAACUUGUAAACAACACAUUAGCAAUUGCACUAUCAAAAAAAUCCAAUUUUAUAUGUUUGAAACAAUAUAUUGAUACAAAAUAUCAUUUUAUUAGAGAGUACAUGAUGAAGAAGAAAGUAUAAUUAAAUUUGCAAAAUCUCAAGAUUAAAUUGCAAAUAUUUUCACCAAACCUCUCAAGUUUAAAAAUUUCAGAAAGUUAAGUAUGUUACUUGGAGUUACAAAUAAAGUUUAAGGGGAAUAUUGGAAAGUUAAACUUGAUUUAGAAAGUUUCCAAAAAUUAGAACUAGAUUUAGUCUCCACAAUUCAAAGAUAAUAUUUUAUUUUCAAUGGUUGUUUAUAUUUGAGUAGUCAAGUUCUAGAAGGUUAAUUUCUAUAUUUUGUUAUUAGAAUUUUCUAUUUUGUUAAGUGUAAAUAUCUAUAAAUAAGAUUUUAUGUAAUAUUUGAAUAAGAAAGUGUAAAGAUGAAUCUCACCUACGGAUAAUAGCUAGAAGGGGCUAAAUAGAUGUUUUUUAAGACAUCUUAAGAUGGUAUUUCACAAAUGCUUACAAAUCCCUUAUUUUUCUCAAAUGUUUUGGUUUGUUUUUUUUAUUUUAUUAACAAAAAAAAAAAAAAAAAACAAAUCAUAAGUAAUAAUGGAUGCAUCAACACUCUCUCAUUAAGUGAGUCAAUACAAAUCACGUACAAAUGAAUCAACACUCCUCAACUAUAAUGUAUAAGACAUUAUAUGCAUCAACACAAAUCCCAUUUUCGCAUGUCCCUUGACAUUAAUAUCAAAAACUGAAAUAUACCAUAUUCUUUCAAAGCUUCAAUGGUUUAAUUUAAGCUCAUAUUUCAAUUAAACAACAAAUAAUUCAAUAGAAAUAUCAUAAGCUAAUGAAAAACUAAAUAAAAGAUGAGGUAGAAUAGAGAAACAAUGACACCAAUAUUUUAUCAUGGAAAACCUACAAAGGGAGAAAAAACCAUAGACCUCGAGCGAUCAAAUCAUUCACCAUGAAGAAAAUUGACUAAGUACAAGGAUUUACCUAACCCAAACCUUCAAUCCUCUCCCGGUCCACUUGCCUAAAAUCUUCAAACUUUAGCAACCCACUUUCUUCUUCUAGAACACACUUCAAAUCCAUACCAAGUUUGAUCUUGACCUCUUCUUAAAUCCACAUAAGAAGAUAUUUGAGUUUUUACCCCAAAUAAGAUGAAUACAAGCGUAGAGAUGAAACUCACACCGAAUCAACCUAUUUUGAAAGAAAUUUUCUCACUCAAAAAUGAUUUUCAACUCAAACCCAUAAAAUUUUCAGUCAAACCAAACACCCCGAAAACAGGUAAUAGAAUAUGAAGCUCAAGGGAGGCCACCUAUCUCUCUCAGCCCACCCUUCCUCUUAUAAAAAUAGAGCUUACAUAUUAGGGUUUUAAAACCCAUUAAACGGCUGAGAUUUGUUUGGAAAAUAAUGAAGAUUCGUAGUGUGAUCGAAGUCUGAUCACAAGACUGAAAAAAUCUGGGUUCAACAAAAACUGUUACCCUUCAGUUUUAUGUUGUGGUUGAGUACUACUCGAUAAUAGUGAGUGGUAGCAUUUAUGGAGGACCAUCACAUGAUGGUCCAAAUGAGAAGUAGCUAGAUAUGAUACUAAAAAUUGAUGUAAGGUAAUCAAGUAAAAGUUAACGAGUUGGAUCGAAACAGGUUCUGACUUUCUGUACGUAGCUGCAUUUAGAAAUGAAGGUUUUACAGGCAAAGAUGUUUCAGACACUUCUUCACCAAACCCAUGUAUAAAAGGAACAGAUUGAACCGAAAGCUACUUCAUUAUGGUUUUGUGGAGAGUUGCUUUUCUUGAGAAGUUCUAUAUAGGCUUUCUGUUACUUGUGACCUAAGUGCUUCAAAUCAAUCAAUUUGCUUUUCGUGCCAGAAUGAAAGCAUUGAUUAUAUUAGAAGUUCAUGUUCAAGUUUAAAGUAAAGUAAAUAUGUGAAGACAGCUAAAUCGUUUAAGGCAUUUUUUUGUUAUCAAAUCUAAUUCCCUUUAUUUCCCUCCAUUUUUUUUUUCUCAGCUUCUGAGUUCAUGAAAUUACAGUUACAUGGAAUUUGGCCCACAGGAAAUCUCUUUUAGAAAAUCUUAUCUGGUUUACUUCACAAUUUUUGUUUAGAUGUGAAAAUUAAGAACAAUUGCAUGCUGUUGAUCAAGACAUCCAUGUUUAGCAAUUCAUCCUCUCAUUGAAAUAAAUGUAAAUGUUCCAUUUAUUUAAAAGUUUGCGAAUCUUAAGUAGAUGGCAAACAGAUCAAUAAGGUCCAAUAACAGAACAAAUUAAUGGCUAGUAUAUACUGAAAGAGAACUCAAGGGUAUAAAAUAAAAACAAAAUGAUCCAAACUGCAAAGCAUCAUGGCCAUGGCAAGGUCCUUAUUGUUGAACUGGCUGUCUUUCUUUGAUGUUAAUAGUCGUUGUACCCCCAAAAGAUCUUCCUGUUCCUUCUGAUAUCAAUUAUUCAUUCUAUCCUAUAAUCUGCACGGAAAACAGAGGAAUGUUAAAUACUGUAUGAAUGAUGAAAAUGGGAAAUGUGGUCUGUAUUAUAUAUACUUACAUGAAACUAGAAGAGGCAAUUCAUUUAGUAAUAUGGUGGAGGAGGUGAAGGAGAGGAAGGGGGUGGUGACUUGUGGUAGUAGACUGGUGGUUGGGGUGAUGGAGAAGGUAGUGGUGGGGAUUUGUAGAGGUAUGGUGGAAGAGGAGAUGGAGAUGGAGGAGGUGAGGACUUGUAAUAGGAUGGAGAAGGUGGUGGUGGUGAUUUGUAGUAGUAAGGAGGAGGUGGGGAAGGAGAUGGUAGAGGUGGGGACUUAUAGUAAUAAGGAGGUUGAGGAGAUGGUGAUGGAGGAGGAGGUAAUUUAUAGUCGUAGUGAGGAGGGGGUGAUGGUGAAGGUAGUGGUGGUGACUUGUAGUAAUACCACGGAGGAAGAGAUGGAGAUGGAGCCAGAGGUGACAGCGGUGGUAGUGAUUUGUAGUAAUAAGGAGGCAGUGAUGAUGGAAAAGGUGGGAGCGGUGGCAGUGAUUUAUGGUAAUAAGGAGGUAGUGAUGAUGGAAAAGGUGGGAGCGGUGGCCGUGAUUUAUAGUAAUAAGGAGGUAGUGAUGAUGGAAAAGGUGGGGAUGCAAAAGUAUUAGGAUUGUAAGGCUCGUCUUCAGCAGCUACAUUAGCGGCAAUCAAGCACAAAGCCAAGACACAAAUCAGGUGAGGCCAAAAAUUGGCCAUUUCCAGAACACGAGAAAAUUUCACUCCUACAACUCAAGAACUUCUAUUUCUUAGAACAGAAGGGAUUUUGUGAAUGAUGCUUCAAGGUAGAGGCUCAGAGUUUAUAUAGUCAUCCUUUCCAUAAUUCUUUCAUUUGUUUAAUUAGUAGUUGUUGAAGCCUCCAAUCUUUAACAAGUCUACAACUAAAUGGUAUUCCCCUAUUUUCUAUGUGUUACCUGCACAUCUGUCCAUGAAAAGUCAAGAAGAUUAGUAAACAUAUAUAUACAAGAGUGCAUUUCAGUUUUGGUUGUUGGGAGCCUAGAAGCUUCCCCAUAUAUUAUGUCAAAUGUGACUGCCAUCUUUAAGAAUUUACCAUGGAAAACUCAACAUAAAAUAUUACUAUGAAGCAUGUCUACCAAGCAAAAAGCUAGGGCUAUUAGAUCUCCUUCUACCAUAACUUCCUGUUUUUCGAAAAUUUGUCAUACAUUGAAACCUUUUUCAAAACAACAAAAAGAUUUAAUAUUGCAAAUAAUUUACGGGCAUUAAUUAGGAAGGUAAUGCACUAAUAAACCUAAAAUCAAUGCCAAUUUUUCUAGAAAGGCAUCGUUGUCUUUCAAUAACUUCUUAAGCUAGCUAUUUAAUAUUAUAGGACGACUAGGUCUAUGAAUGAGAUCAUCAUAUGCAUUUUCAAUAACAAGUAAUGGACCCUUGUUUUUCCAUUGGAUUUGAGUAACGAUGAAAGUUCUUUAGGAAAAGGAAAGAAACAUAAUUAAUCUCUUAAAUUUCUUCUUCAUGCAUGUUGCUAGAUAAAGGAUUGAUGGGGCAAGCAACAAAGGGAGAUUAUUUAAAGAGAUUUUGUAAUAACUACUUUGGAAUUGGGAGUUGUAGAAAGUGGAAGAGAAAAUGUUCAAGGAAUAGUUCAUUCCUCAAAUGUUCAUCCAUUCCUUUGUAUAGGGUUUUGCCUUUAAAUAUCAACAAAACUGCUCAAGGUGUAUUUGAUAGUAAUUUUAGAAAGUAUUUUUAACCUUUAUAAUACUUAAAAAAAAAAAAAAUUGUUAAGUGUCAAAAAUAUUAAAAACACAUCUUAAAAUCACUACUAAACGGACUCUUAAAAGUUCAUAUGAAAUUAAUCAAAUUAGAUAAGGACAGGUUCUAACCUGUGGACAUAUAUGUAGAACUAAGGUCUUAGAACCGGUGAUGAUGAGAUUGCAAUCACAACUCACAACCAAAUAUCAUACAUACUUGAAAGAAACAAAUUGGAAGGAAAUCUAUUUCAAUAUGAAUUAUAAAGUGUUUUUGUGGUUAAUAUAAAAAAUAAUGACACUACAUGCAACUUACAUAUGUACUUGCUUUAUAUGCUAACGACAUUAUUUAUAUGCUAGAUAUUAACUAGACACCAUCAAUCAAGUCUAUAUAUAUAUAUAUAUUAUUAUUUAUAUCUUUAUACUUUGAUCUCAUUUGUUUAUUUCUUCGUUCAACAACACAAAUCUCAUCAUGCAUGUUUAAUGAUCCGGAUUUAGAGCUCAAUAGAUAUCACUAGGGUAGCUUAGGAUUUUCUUACCUAAAAUUACUAUAAGAAGUACUCAAGGAAAAAGAAAAUGAAUGAUCUAAAAGUGGAUCCCUUGCAACACUUCAAGGAGUCGAGAUUUGUACUUGGUUGGGCUUGGAAUUCUAAUAAUCCUAGUUGGCUGGGCACUUGGCUUUCUAAUAAUUCUAGUUGUCGCAUUAACGGAAACUGUUUGUAACUCAACAGUAUGGACAAUUGAAAUGUUUAUGGAGUAUUGUUAAUCAAAGCUGCCAUGGGAAAAUCUUUUGUUUGAAGCCCUUCACUGGAAUAUUCAAUAAAUAUAGCUAGCGCCACUUUCCCUCAGAAAUAAUUCCCCCCAAUACCUUAAAUGGUAUGCUUAAUUUCUUAUUCACUUUUACACACCUAUUCAUCUUAAUUACCAAAUGCACCCACUUUCUGUUUUUUUUUUCUUUUAACUCAUUAAUGUUUUAAAAAAAAUUGGUAUUAAUCAAAUAUUAAUUUUAAAAUUUUUAAUUAUUUUAAAAAAUUAUCAUAUCGGUUAAGAAAUUUAAUGCAUUAGCUCUCACUUGAUUUGAAAUAUGUUUGUCUAAUGAUAGAACUUGAAAAUUAUAUAGUUACACGCACAUAAAAAAUUGGCCAAGCCAUUGUAGACCGGUUUUGUUCCAACAAAUUCUAGUAUUAAUUGGCUCGAAUCAAGUUCUAAAUGAUUUUUAAAAUUUAUUAAACUUAUUAAGGAAUCCAAUGCAUCAAAUUGGAUUUAGAAGAUGACACAUCUCAAAGCAAAACAAUAGGGAAAGGUAUAAUAAAUCACAAAUUCAAUGUUAUAAAUAUCAAAAAUUAAACUGGAAUAAUCUCAAAUGACAAAAAUUAAGAAGAUUCUAUAGAUAAGGAAAUAAAAGCAAUAACAAAACAUAAUACAUUGAAACUAAAAUCCUUUCCAAAAGAGAAAAAGGCAAUUGGAGGAAAAUGGGUAAACAAUGAGUCAAAUCCUAUUUUUUGAAAACAACCAAAGGUUUAUAAAAUAAUAAUAAAUAAAUAAAUAAAAUGAAAUAAAAUAAAAUAAAUAAGAUCUCCUUUAAGACUAAAUGAUUCCAUUGAAUUGAGUAUGAUUGUGUGUGUGAUAGCAUCAACAGUACUAAGAAUAUCAAUGACCUUUUGGCAACCAACCUUCAAAAUAUAAAGGGGAAAGAUGUGCAAAGAAGAAUGUAAAAGGAGAAAUAUUAGAGAGACACAAAGUAAGAUUAGUGGUUAAGGGUUACAAGCAUCAACUUGUAAACAACAAAUUAGCAAUUGCACUAUCAAAAAAUCCAAUUUUAUAUGUUUGAAACAAGAUAUCAAUACAAAAUAUCAUUUUAUUAGAGAGUGCAUAAUGAAGAAGAAAGUAUAAUUAAAUUUGCAAAAUCUCAAGAUUAAAUUGCAAAUAUUUUUACCAAACCUCUCAAGUUUAAAAAUUUUAGAAAGUUAAGUAUAUUACUUGGAGUUACAAAUAAAGUUUAAGGGGGAUAUUGGAAAGUUAAACUUGAUUUAGAAAGUUUCCAAAACUUAGAACUAGAUUUAGUCUCCACAAUUCAAAGAUAAUAUUUUAUUUUCAAUGGUUGUUUAUAUUUGAGUAGUCAAGUCCUAGAAGGUUAAUUUCUAUAUUUUGUUAUUAGAAUUUUCUAUUUUGUUAAGUGUAAAUAUCUAUAAAUAAGAUUUUAUGUAAUAUUUGAAUAAGAAAGUGUGAAGAUGAAUCUCACCUAUGGAUAACAGCUAGAGGGGGCUAAAUAGAUGUUUUUUAAAACAACUUAAGAUGGUAUCUCACAAAUGCUUACAAAUCCCUUAUUUUUCUCAAAUGUUUUGGUUUGUUUUUUUUUAUCUUAUUAAAAAAAAAACAAAUCAUAAGUAAUAAUGGAUGCAUCAACACUCUCUCAUUAAGUGAGUCAAUGCAAAUCACAUACAAAUGAAUCAACACUCCUCAACUAUAAUGUAUAAGACAUUAUAUGCAUCGACACAAAUCCCAUUUUCGCAUGUCCCAUGACAUUAAUAUCAAAAACUGAAAUAUACCAUAUUCUAUCAAAGCUUCAAUGGUUUAAUUUAAGCUCAUAUCUCAAUUAAACAACAAAAUAAUUCAAUAGAAAUAUCAUAAGCUAAUGAAAAACUAAUUAAAAGAUGAGGUAGAAUAGACAUAUAAGGGAAGCAGCCUAAAAUCAUGCCUAUCAUUCAAUUCUAUAUUCUGUCAUAUAGCUGUAUAUUGUAACAGUAGCAUAGAUUUAGCCUUACCGUUUCUAAAUUUGAAUCAUAUAGUUGUAUAUUGUAACGGUAGCAUCCUUAUCGUGUAUAUGUUUCUUAAACUAGCUUCUUAAUCACUUUAUAUAAUAGAGUUUCCAUCAAUAAAAUGAGUUGGAAAUUCUUCAUUGAAACUACGACAAUAUUUUUUUCUUUAUAUGGUAUCAGAGCACUGAUCUCAAAUGAGCCAUCGAUCCAAGUUAUCACCAUGCCUUCCUCCUCUGAUCAAACUCCAAACUUUAAUCUCAAUACUCAACUUCCAUCUGCAGUCGAUAAACCCCUAAUUGCUCUCAAUAUCACAACCCAAAUCAAUGAAAAAUUAACUCCCUCCACAUUUUCUCAAUGGUGUGCUCAAUUUGAAGCACUCAUUAUUGGUUACGAUUUACUCAACUAUGUUGAAGGCACCAUUCGGUGCCCUUCCUCUACUGCUACUCCUACUGAUGAGUUGCACAAAACCCAUUGGGUCCGAUAGGAUAAACUUAUCUUGAGUGCUAUUCUAGCCUCCACAUCUUCUUCAAUCACACCACUCAUUGCUACGUCAAAGACCUCCCAUGAAGCUUGGAAAAAAUUAAAACCUCUAUAUGCUACCCGAUCAAGAACACAUGCUAUGCAAUUAAAGGAGGAACUCACCUUAAUCCAGCGAGGAGAUCGGUCGAUUAUAGAAUGCAUCCAUCCUCUAAAGUCCUUGGCCAAUGAAAUAACCAUUAUUGAUCAUUCAAUUUCGGAUGAUGACCUAACCCUUUGUGUGUUGAAUGGCUUAGGUCUAGAUUUUCGAGAGAUUGUUGUGCAUAUCUGAGCUCGAGAAUCAUCACUGGCUUUUGAGGAGUUGCAUGAUCUUUUGGUUGGACACGAGGCAUACUUAUGACGCAUAGGAGUUGCGAUGCAGAACCUAGUUGCUUCUGCAAAUUUCAUAAAGAUGACGAAGUAGUCUCCACAAUGAGGAAGUCACCCGUGGUCUUUCAAGCAAACUAGCUUUCACCAUGAGCCUCGAGGUUCUCAACAAAGCUGCAACUCAAAUGGAGCCCAACGUGAUGGAUGUCGCUCCAACAAUAACUCUAGGCGACCCAACAACUCCAAUUGGUGUUACCAGCCCAAAUGUCAAAUUUAUGACCAAUUGGGCCACACUGCAAAGUUCUGUCCUCAACUCCAUUCAUAGAAUGCCUCCAUCAAUUGUGCUGCAAUCUCUACUGGCAAGGACAAAAAUUGGUUACUUGAUUCGACUAUUUCUCAUAAUAUCACGGGUGAUCUUUCCAACUUAUCUAUUCACUCCGAAUAUGAUGGAAUUGACAAAGUAAUUCUCAGUAAUGGUUCAAGUUUGGUUGUCUCACACAUCGGUUUUUUGGAUUUACACUCCCCUCAUCGAAAUUUUACAUUGCAUGAUACUCUUUGUGUUCCAAAUCUUUGCAGAAAUUUAAUUUCCGUUCAUCAUCUCACCAAACAAAACAAUGUCUUGGUUGAAUUUCACCAUUUUCAUUUUCUUGUGAAGAACAAGAUCACGGGGGCAAUCCUACUAAGAAGAGCAUGUAACAAUGGCAUCUACACUUUUCCGACAUCAAUGGUGGCAUAAAAAAAUAUUGCUAAUGUGCAUGAACACAGAUGGAUGGCACAAGCGUCUUGGGAUUCCUUCUACUAAAAUUGCCCAUCAUCUUGUCAAUAAAUUUUCUCUUCCUAUGUCCUUGAACAAAAAGUUUAUCUUCAUUAUGUUCUUCAUGUUCUAUUAAUAAAGCACAUCAACAACCACUUUGUGUCACUAGUCUCCAAAGUCAUGAGCCACUUGACCUUAUUUACACGGAUGUGUGGGGUCCCGCUAGUUAUACUGGAAUUGAUGGAUCACGAUAUUACCUUAUUUUUGUUGAUCAUUAUACAAAAUAUAUAUGAUUUUAUCCAAUGGUCACAAAAUCCAAUGUUUCUAAUAUUUUCCCGCAUUUCAAAAAGUUUGUUGAAACUUGUUUUUAAAAAUCUAUUAAAACACUUUACUUCAAAAAUGGUGGUGAGUUUAUCGCUUUAAAAUCUUAUUUAUUACUUCAUGGCAUAACUCACUACACCACUGCUCCACACACUCAACAACAAAAUGGUGUCUUUGAACGUUAUCACUGUCAUCUCGUUGAAACGAACCUUACACUUCUUCAUGAUGCAAAUCUUGCUUUCUCAUAUUGGCCCUAUGCUUUUCAAACAACUUCUUAUCUCAUAAAUAAACAACCAAUGCCUUUCCUCCAAGAAAAAAAUACCUUUUGAAGCCCUUUUUGGUCAACCACCCAAUUACUUGAAAUUAAAAAAAUUUGGGUGCAUUUGUUAGCCCCUCACACGAGCCUAUAAUUCAAAUAAAAUGCAGCCCAAAUCCAAAGUCUGCAUUUUUCUCGGUUAUUCACCAACCCAAAACGCAUACAAGUGUUUUGAACCUCAAACAAAAAAUUCUUUCUCUCACGGCAUGUGUUAUUUGAUGAAAAUCUAACAUAUUCCAGUCUAUCCUAAACUGCGUCUUCCAUAACAACCCAACCCACUCGAGAAUCUCACAUUUUUUUUCAUUUUUUCUUCUUCAAUUCUCAGCAGGCUGUCGUGUCUCCAUCACAGUUGUCCGGUACACCUAUCUCAUCGUUGUCUCCGGAAGGUCCGCCUACCAUUGUUGCGUCUUCCUUAGGUGAUUUCGGACCCUCUGCUCCUUUCUUUCAUGAUUGCUUGCAAACCCUAGAUCACAACACCACCCACUUGAAUUUUCCUUUACAUGACACUCAGACUGGUCCUUCUUUAAAUUUGCAAUCACGCUCUCAUGAUCAGCAUCUAGGUCUAGCUAAUACUUCCAAUUUUCCAACCCCUACCGAAACCAAUAAUUUUCCCCAACGCACUCAUACCAUGACCAUAAGAUCAAUGUACCAAAUCUUCAAACCCAAACAACUCCACACUGUGUCAAAAUAUCCUCUCUCCUCGACCAUUGAACCAACCAAUGUGAGCCAAGCCAUUUCUCAACCUCAUUGGCGUGAGGUCAUGUCUAAUGAGCUUACUGCUCUAAUGAAACAUAGGACUUGGGACAUAGUUUUACCACCUUCAAACUGUAAACCCGUGGGUUGUAAAUGGGUAUUUUGAGUAAAAAGAAAAGCUGAUGGGUCAGUGGACAGGUUCAAAGUCUGUCUAGUUGCUAAGGGCUAUAAUCAACGUCUUGGUGUUGAUUACAAAGACACUUUUAGUCUUGUCAUCAAACCAACAACUAUUAGAUUUGUCCUAUCUAUUGUAGUCAUGAAUGGAUGGGUUUUGAGGCAACUGAAUAUCAACAAUGCUUUUCUAAAUGGUGAAUUAUCUGAGACUGUGUUUAUGGCAUAACCCCCAGGGUUCAAAGAUUUGUCCAAACCUAAUCAUGUUUGCAAGUUAAAAAAAUGCCAUCUAUGGGCUUAAAUAAGCCCCGCGAGCUUGGUACACAAUGCUAAAAAAUGCCAUUCUUCAGUUGGGUUUUCAUAAUUCCAAAGUGGAUUCCUCUCUCUUCAUUUACAACCAUGGUUCCAAUCUUUAUUAUUUCUACAGGGAAUAAUUUCAUACUUAUGGCCACUAUUAUGAAGCAGCUGGGUGACAUGUUUUCUCUCAAAGAUAUGGGUUCUCUUCAUUUUUUCUUAGGAAUUGAAGUAAUUCCUACUCGGGCAGGAUUAUUCCUCUCACAACAUAAAUAUGUUCAUGAACUUUUAGCCCACACCAGUAUGAGUAGUGCAAAAGAUGUCUCCAUACCUCUCUCUACCACUCAAUCUCUUCAACUGGUUGAUGGCAUUGUUGCUGUGGACAACUCAGAGUUCUGUAAAAUCAUUGGCAGCCUUCAAUACCUUUCUUUGACGCAUCCAGAUAUCUCAUUUGCAGUAAAAAAAACUCUCGCAAUUUAUGCACAAGCCGACUACAAAUCACUGGACAGAAACCAAACGACUCAUUCGAUACUUAAAACAAACCAUUUUUUUAUGGUAUUCAAAUCAACAAAGCUGGAACUCCAGUAUUAAGAACAUACUCAGAUGUAGAUUGGGCUGGAAAUGUGGACGACUGCACGUCCACCUCUGCUUCUAUCAAUUUUUUGGGAUCUAACCAAAUUUCUUGGAGCUCAAAGAAACAAAGAGCAGUUGCAAGAUCCUCAAUAGAAGUUGAAUACCGAGACUAGCAACUGCGGCUUCCGAGACAAUGUGGAUGUCUACUCUCUUCAAAGAACUAGCAUUUCCAAUCAAAGAAUCUCCCCAAUUGUUAUGUGACAACCUUGGAGCCACACAUCUCAGUUUUAACUCGGUUAAUCAUUCACGCAUGAAACACAUUCAAAUUGACCUUCACUUUGUGCGUGACUUAGUGCAAAAAGGAAGCAUCCAAGUCAGCCAUGUACAUACUCAAGACCAAUUAGCUUAUCUGUUAGCAAAGUCGUUGUCCAAACAACGCACAGAAUUGUUACGCAACAACAUUGUCCUUACCGAUGGAAGCCCUAUCUUGCAGGGGUGUAUAAGGGAAACAUCCUAAAAUCAUGCCUAUCAUUCAAUUCUAUAUUCUGUCAUAUAGUUGUAUAUUGUAACAGUAGCAUCCUUACCGUGUAUAAGUUUCCUAAACUAGCUUCUCAAUCACUCUAUAUAACAGAGUUUCUAUCAAUAAAAUGAGUGGGAAAUUCUUCAUUGAAACUACGACAAUAUUUGUUUCUCUAUAAGAGAAACGGUGACACCAAUAUUUUAGCAUGGAAAACCUAAAAAAAGGAGAAAAAACCAUAGACCUCUAGCGAUCAAAUCAUUCACCAUGAAGAAAAUUAACUAAGUACAAGGAUUUACCUAACCCAAACUUUCAAUCCUCUCUUGGUCCACUUGCCUAAAAUCUUCAGACUUUAGCAACCCACUUUCUUCUUCUAGAACACACUUCAAAUCCAUACUAAGUUUGAUCUUGACCUCUUCUUAAAUCCACAUAAGAAGAUAUUUGAGUUUUUACCCCAAAUAAGAUGAAUAUAAGCGUAAAGAUGAAACUCACACUGAAUCAACCUAUUUUGAAAGAAAUUUUUUCACUUAAAAAUGAAUUUCAACUCAAACCCAUAAAAUUUUCAUUCAAACCAAACACCUCAAAAACAGGUAAAAGAAUAUGAAGCUCAAGAGAGGCCACCUAUCUCUUUCAGCCCGCCCUUCCUCUUAUAGAAAUAGAGCUUAAAUAUUAGGGUUUUAAAACCCAUUAAACGGAUGAGAUUUGUUUGGAAAAUAAUGAAGAUUCAUAGUGUGAUCGAAACCUGAUCACAAGACUGAAAAAAUCUGGGUUCAACAAAAACUGUUACCCUUCAGUUUUAUGUUGUGGUUGAGUACUACUCGAUAAUAGUGAGUGAUAUCAUUUAUGGAGGACCAUCACAUGAUGGUCCAAAUGAGAAGUAGAUAUGAUACUAAAAAUUGAUGUAAGGUAAUGUCCCGUCCCAAGACCCACUCCAAGGGCAUGAAGGUCAUUUCACACCUCAAACCCAAAGGCUUAAAGUGUAACCUGACCCAAACAAUUAUCUUAUAACUGGAAGUUACCAAUUACCAAAUACCUGUUUAGAGUAGCAAAAUAAAAUUCUAAAAUCUUCAAAACUUAACUUUAAAACUAAGCAUCCAUCAACCAAAAUCCAUUUUCCAAAUAAAUUGCAAACUCAAACAAUUCAAGUGCUAACAAAAAUUUUCAUAAUCUCCAAAUCUCAACUUCAAACUAUCAAAAAAAAUUUAAAAGUUCAAUAUCUAAAUAGCUUCCAAAAACCAAAUAAUCCAAAUGAACAUAAACUUAUAAGCUAACAAUGUCCAAAAAUAACAUCCUAAGCAAAAUCCUAAUGAUGACCAUUCCCCGACCUAGCCAUCACUCAUCGCCCGAACUAAGUGUACCUGAAAAAUUAUCAACAAAAGAGAAUGAGCUCAAAGCCCAAUAAGGAACAUUAUUAUAGUCCAUGGAUCAAAUAUUUCAAGUUCACUUGUAAAAUAGGAGAUAUUAUAACUAAUUAUUUUCAUAAACCUUUGAGUCAGUUUUGUCAAUACAUUCAAAACUUUUAAUUGAACACUUUCAUUUCUGAUUCAAACAUUUUCAUAUCAAAUUCAGUCAAAACAUUCAAAUCAUUUAUUUACUUUGGUCAUCAAACAUUAAAUGAUGUCCAAUUAGGUGAGACUUUUCAAAUAAGUGGCUAGCCUCAAAUUGUUCAUUUAAGGUGGACGAAACCAAACACUACUAGUACUAGUAACCUCUAACCAAACCCCUAGAGGUUGGGGUCCAAAUCAAUUACAUUCCCCACCAAGAAAUGUAAAUGUCAACUAUUAUAUUUCGUCGACAAGGGUCAAACAAACCAAAAUCAAACACUUAUUUCAAUUAUUCAAAUUUGCAAAACAUAAUAUCUCCAUAUUUCUCUGUUGUGAACAAAAUGUAAGGUUCUAACAUACUUUUCAUGCAAAACAUAUUUGAUUCAUGCAUAAAACGAAUAAUAACUCAAAGCGUUUCCAAAUGAUGUAUAUAAAAAUUUGUUUCUAAAAAAAAAAAAAAACCUGCAUUAAUUUCCCUUACCUCAAAAGAAGUCUUCAAAAACUUAGGAGAAAAAUAAUUCUUAAAAAUCUACUCCUCACCUAACAAAGUAUAAGAGAAAUAACCAUUAUUAUUUAUCUAAAAUUAUAGGUUUGACAAUCCUAAAAGGUAUUCAAAUUAAUGUUUUUAAUUAUAAAAGAUAAUUUAAUCUAUUCCUAUUUUAGAAAAAUUAAUAAAUUUCUAAUUCAUAUAAAACUUAAAUUUUAUUUUCAAUUUAUUUCUUAGGAUACAACAUAAUUUAAUUAAACUACAAUUUAUUCUACUAAUUAAAUUUUAUGCCACUUAUUAACUUACACUCAUCAUUAGUAUAAUAAUAUUGAUAACUUCUAUUCUCUUUCUUUCAAUUUUUUUUUUCCACUAAACAUAAAUUGUAACCCUAACAAUUCUCCAUUAUUGCUAACAUAAUAAUGUAAAGAUAUUUAUUAACCACCAAACACCAUCCGUACACAUCUUCCUUUAUUAUUAAUAUUACUAUUUUUUUUCUUUUAAAAAAAAUAAAAAAUUCCUCCAGUGCAAGUGUGUUCUUUUUUUUUCCCCUAAUGUUUUCUAAUCCCUUAACCCACAUAUAAUAAUAUAUUUAUUUACUCAUUUAUUUAUUUAUUUUUAAAAAAAUCAUUACUUAGAUCUAUUCAUCUAAAAAAUUUUGAAUUUCCCUUAUUUCAACAAUAGAACAAUCUAUAUUCCCAAUUUCAAUAUUUUGACCUAAAAGUUUUAAAUAGGUUAAGUCUAGCCUAAAUUGAAAUCUUUCAAAGAAAUUUUUUUUUUUUUCAAAAACUUAAGAUUUCCCAAUUUUUAAUAAUAAAACCACCAAUAAUCCUAAAUUUCUAAUAUUUUGAUAUUAAAACGAAUUAAAAAAAAAACUAACCCUAAUCUAAAUUAAAAAAAUAAAAUUCAAAGAAUAACUAACGUGUUUAGAACUAACUAUUGAAUAUAAUAUAUUAAUUUAAGAUUAGAAUCUUACCUAGAAAAAAAACCUGAAUUUCAACUUUAAAUCUCUAACCCUUGAGCCCUACGAACUCCAAUUCUCUACUUCUAGUUAAUAGGGUUUUCUGAACGAAGAAGAAAAGAGGAAAAAUCCAAUUUAUACCUAGGAUUUUUAAUUGUAAAAUGACUCUUUCACCCUCAAUGAAUUUAAUUAAUUAUUUAAUUACUUUAUAAAUUACUAGUUUGCCCCUAGAUUAAAUUUUGGGGUGUUACAGGUAAUCAAGUAAAAGUUAACGAGUUGGAUCGAAACAGGUUCUGACUUUCUGUAGCUGCAUUUAGAAAUGAAGGUUUUACAGGUAAAGAUGUUUCAGACACUUCUUCACCAAAACCCAUGUGUAAAAGGAACAGAUUGAACCGAAAGCUACUUCAUUAUGGUUUUGUGGAGAGUUGCUUUUCUUGAGAAGUUCUAUAUAGGCUUUCAGUUACUUGUGACCUAUUGUGCUUCAAAUCAAUCAAUUUGAUUUUCGUGCCAGAAUGAAAGCAUUGAUUAUACUAGAAGUUCAUGUUCAAGUUUAAAGUAAAGUAAAUAUGCGAAGACUGUUUUUUGUUAUCAAACCUAAUUCCCUUUUUUUUCCUCCAUUUUUUUUUUUCUCAGCUUCUGAGUUCAUGAAAUUACAGUUACAUGGAAUUUGGCCCACAGGAAAUCUCUUUUAGAAAAUCUUAUCCGGUUUACUUCACAAUUUUUUUUUUAAAUGUGAAAAUUAAGAACAAUUGCAUGCUGUUGAUCAAGACAUCCAUGUUUAGCAAUUCAUCCUCUCAUUGAAAUAAAUGUAAAUGUUCCAUUUAUUUAAAAGUUUGCGAAUCUUAAGUAGAUGGCAAACAGAUCAAUAAGGUCCAAUAACAGAACAAAUUAAUGGCUAGUAUAUACUGAAAGAGAACUCAAGGGUAUAAAAUAAAAACAAAAUGAUCCAAACUGCAAAGCAUCAUGGCCAUGGCAAGGUCCUUAUUGUUGAACUGGAUGUCUUUCUUUGAUGUUAAUAGUCGUUGUACCCCCAAAAGAUCUUCCUGUUCCUUCUGAUAUCAAUUAUUCAUUCUAUCUAUCCUAUAAUCUGCACGGAAAACAGAGGAAUGUUAAAUACUGUAUGAAUGAUGAAAAUGAGAAAUGUGGUCUGUAUUAUUAUAUAUACUUACAUGAAACUAGAAGAGGCAAUUCAUUUAGUAAUAUGGUGGAGGAGGUGAAGGAGAGGAAGGGGGUGGUGACUUGUGGUGGUAGACUGGUGGUUGGGAUGAUGGAGAAGGUAGUGGUGGGGACUUAUAGUAAUAAGGAGGUUGAGGAGAUGGUGAUGGAGGAGGAGGUAAUUUAUAGUCGUAGUGAGGAGGGGGUGAUGGUGAAGGUAGUGGUGGUGACUUGUAGUAAUACCACGGAGGAAGAGAUGGAGAGGGAGCCAGAGGUGACAUCGGUGGUAGUGAUUUAUAGUAAUAAGGAGGCAGUGAUGAUGGAAAAGGUGGGAGCGGUGGCAGUGAUGAUGGAAAAGGUGGGAGCGGUGGCCGUGAUUUAUAGUAAUAAGGAGGUAGUGAUGAUGGAAAAGGUGGGGAUGCAAAAGUAUUAGGAUUGUGAG